GAAGAGUGCAACUUAGCACUGUUUCUAUCCAACAUUUUGACCGUUCGUUUUAUUUAAAAAUUUUUUAUGAUUAAUAUUUUUAUUGUUAUUAGAUGAUAAAACAUUAAUAAUACUUUAUGUGUGAUUAAUUUUUUUAUUUUUUUCAUAAAUUUAUCAAAUAAGACAUACGGUCAAACGUUGAACAUAGAUAUCCACGACUGCUCUUAAA
rfam:Oryza punctata chromosome 5, whole genome shotgun sequence.